GAUGAACGCUGGCGGCGUGCCUAAUACAUGCAAGUCGAGCGAACGGACGAGAAGCUUGCUUUUCUGAUGUUAGCGGCGGACGGGUGAGUAACACGUGGAUAACCUACCUAUAAGACUGGGAUAACUUCGGGAAGCCGGAGCUAAUACCGGAUAAUAUUUUGAACCGCAUGGUUCAAAAGUGAAAGACGGUCUUGCUGUCACUUAUAGAUGGAUCCGCGCUGCAUUAGCUAGUUGGUAAGGUAACGGCUUACCAAGGCAACGAUGCAUAGCCGACCUGAGAGGGUGAUCGGCCACACUGGAACUGAGACACGGUCCGGACUCCUACGGGAGGCAGCAGUAGGGAAUCUUCCGCAAUGGGCGAAAGCCUGACGGAGCAACGCCGCGUGAGUGAUGAAGGUCUUCGGAUCGUAAAACUCUGUUAUUAGGGAAGAACAUAUGUGUAAGUAACUGUGCACAUCUUGACGGUACCUAAUCAGAAAGCCACGGCUAACUACGUG
rnacentral:rRNA from 1 species